AGGCUUUGAUCCUGGCUCAGGACGAACGCUGGCGGUAUGCCUAAUACAUGCAAGUCGAACGCUGAAGCACUCUGCUUGCAGAGUGCGGAUGAGUGGCGAACGGGUGAGUAACACGUGGGUAACCUGCCCAUAAGAGGGGGAUAACAUCCGGAAACGGGUGCUAAUACCGCAUAGGUGAACGGAGCGCAUGCUCUGUUCAUUAAAGAUGGCCUUGUGCUAUCGCUUAUGGAUGGACCCGCGGCGUAUUAGCUAGUUGGUGAGGUAAUGGCUCACCAAGGCAAUGAUACGUAGCCGACCUGAGAGGGUGAUCGGCCACACUGGGACUGAGACACGGCCCAGACUCCUACGGGAGGCAGCAGUAGGGAAUCUUCCACAAUGGGCGAAAGCCUGAUGGAGCAAUACCGCGUGAGUGAAGAAGGUCUUCGGAUCGUAAAGCUCUGUUGUUAGAGAAGAACACACAGAACAGUAACUGGUUCUGCGCUGACGGUAUCUAACCAGAAAGUCACGGCUAAAACGUGC
rnacentral:rRNA from 1 species